UUCAGUUGAGUACACUGUGCUCAUUCUCUCCAUGAGCUGCAGAGUGGAUUUCUUGUCAGUGUAAGUGGAGUGAGUGACAAGGGACAUUCACUCCAGCCUCAUCACUUCCAAGACACUGUGACAUGUGGAGAAAGUAGGUUAGGGCUGGCUGAUGCUGUUCCACAAGGUAACAAUUACAUAUUCUAACUAGGAUCCCCACUAACAAAUGAGAAAGUCCAUGGAAUUUGAUCUGACUUGUACUUUAUUUUGUAACGUUUUAAAUAUAUUGUACCUGAUUUUAUUAAGGGUUAUUUUAUUUAUUUUUAACAGGAAUCACUAGAUUUGAUCUACUUGGAGACUUUGGAAGGUUUAAUUGGCUGGGAAAUUUCUAUAUUGUAUUAUCCUACAAUUUGCUUUUUGCUAUUGUGACAACAUUGUGUCUGUUCAGAAAAUUCACCUCUGCUGUACGAGAAGAACUUUUCAAGGCCCUAGGGCUUCAUAAGCUUCACUUAUCAAAUACUUCAAGGGAUUCAGAAACAUCAAAGCCGUCAGCAAAUGGGCAUCACAAAGCACUGUGAGAUACGCAGCAGCACUCUGCCAUCAAGAGACCCGGGAGGCCCAACUCCCGCCGUCCCCGUCAGUCAGAAAUGACGUGCACUGACUGGGCUUCACAUUUAGGGCCUGGGCCUGGCAGCGCCAUUUCUUUCAUAACCUCCUAAGAACUUGGCUGCUGCAGGCCUUCUUCUCAUUUAACUGUGUGAUGGACCCCACAGUUUCCAGCCAAACGCAGGCUUCGUAGGGCAGCACAUUUUUCUGUGGACACAUUUGCUUGCAGCACUUGAUACAGUCACCCAUAUGAGAAUGUUAGAAAAGGCAACUUCGGGGCUUUCUAAGAAUUCAGUUAAAUCCCAAUAUAUAUUUUAUUCAAAAUGGAGAAGCUGACGUGAAAGGCAUCCUUGGUACUUGGAUGUGAAGUGAAGGCCCUGCAAAAAUGUGGGUUUAUAGAUGCCAUUACUCCAGUGGGUGCGUUGGAACAGUAGUGUGCAAAUGCUAUUUUUCACUUCCUUGAAGAAAAAGACAAAAGCGCAUAGUUCUGGUUUAUAUUUCAGAAUGAUACUGAUUGGACUUGGAGUCAAGAGAAAAAUAUGAAAUUCUUUUGAAAACCUGAUCCGUGGUAGAACACCACGGGAAUACCUUCCACUGUACAGUGUAGUAAGCUACAUGGGAAGUCUUAUGUACUCACACUUCUCUGACCUCUUCUGUGUGUAGGAUUCAGUGUUACCUCUCAUAACAUAGUUGCCAGUGUCGAAUACACUUGUAACUUAGAUUUUGCCUUAUAGGCUAUCUGUACACUUGAUUUUUUUUAAGCUUUUUUCCAAAAUUCCCUCAGUUCCUUGUGCUCCUGUGUCCAUUAUGGAACUACAAAUGCUCUGUGGUAGAAACCCCUUCUGUCAACACAUUCUUCAGGCCUUGGUUACUUUUGUAUAUGCCGGUUUAAACCUCGGAUUUAGAAAAGUACCAGUUUAACACCCAGGUACACAGUGUCAGCAUUCAUGAGGUAAGAAUAGUUUUUCAGUGUUUCAUGAUCUGAUAAAUCAUUCAGUUAUGAAAUUGUAAAUAAUUCUGGGGAUGGCUUCUUGACUUUAAGUCCAUUGAAUAAAAGCUAUAAAACUGUACUUUGUGUUACCAUCCACUAGGAUAGAGUACUGAAAAUUGUGCAUGCAGAAAUAAGAGAUGAGCCCCUUUGCACACACUUGGUAGUUAUGCAGUCUCUAUAAAUACAUAUGUUCACAUGCACUAUGUGUAUGGCAACAGAUUGUCUGUGUUCAGACAAAAGUAAAAGAACAUUUUCCUCAAAUUGUUGAGCUUAAAGGGGUUUUUUUGGAGAAAUUUAUGAAAAUCAGGCUGUAUAUAUUUGACAUAAAAAAUUUCCACUUAGAGCCAAAAUAAUAAGAAAAGUUUAUCUGUGUAUUCCUAAGUUCCAUUGAGUAUACCUCUCCUUUAUUUAUACCUCUGCAUUUCCUUCUGAGCUUCUCUUCCCAUUAAAAUACAGCCCAGUUUUAAGAUAAAAGAACAUUUUGUGAUUCUAAACAACACUCCGUAAAUACCACCAGUCUGGUAUUGGUGAAUUUCUCUGCAUAGGAUCUGCAUACUGAGAAAAUUAAUAGAAACUGGUUGUUUCCUAAUUUCACUGGUAAUUACACCUAUUUAAACAUUAAUUGCAAACUUUGAUUUUUUACUGAAACUUGCUUGCAGGCAAUCCAUAUUUUGAGCAGACUAGGUCAAGGGGAGAAGAAAAAGAAAGUUCUUUAAAUAAAAGAGCAUCGCUUGUAACUUACACUGGUUUCCGGGCACAUCCGUAGGAAGUUCUUGGGUAUUUGUAAGAUGUCUGAAAAUUUCUGAGUAAAAUAUUAAACUUUUCAAUGUCUGUAUCAA